UGCCAACACAAUGCAACCUGAACACAAUAUUCUUAUUCCGAUCACCUUCCUGAUUUUCCAUCAGGAUGCAGUCUCUCUCAGUUCUCAACACCAAAAUAGUCACUGCUUGAGAACAAGAGCUCUACUAACAAAGGUUUGCGAAAAUAUUCAGACAUAAAAAUAAUGCUUGAUUUGAUUUUGAGCAAUCAAAAAAUUAUUUUGGAUCGUUUGCAAAACUCUCAUGUGGGAGCUCAAAAUCAGCAGCCAUCAGUGGAGCCCCAACUUGACAAUGCCAUACUGUCAUUGAAAAGCUAUGAGGAUUUGAUGGAUGUAGAAGAGAAGCUAUUAAAUGUCAAGGGAUUCAAAAGCGAGCUUAUUCAGCAAGAAGUUUAAAAAAUGAAGCAACAAAUGCAGAAAUGGCUUGUGAAAGCAAAAGAAAGAAUGGAGAGAGAGUAAGCAUAACAUUUUUUCAUUAUAUUCCUUGAAUAAAUGAUCAGUUUUGCAUCCCUAAAAGUUUCCAAUCUCAAGCUGCCCUGAAAAAUUGUCCAUAUGAACAGUUCUACUGUGUGAGUCAGAUCCAAGGGAAACUAACAACCACUGAUUGAAACAAUUUUGUUGUCAUAAUCUCACCAAGUGUAAC